rnacentral:misc_RNA from 1 species
GUGAAUUAAACAUGCUUGGUGUCUUCGCUUCGGCAAGGCCCUUGCUUAAAUCACAUCCUAACACCUGUGAACUGUAAGACGUAUGAUGAGGUCUUUGGCCAAGUCAUCGUCUGCCCAUUUUAAACAAACAAUUAAUGUAACAAACGUAGUCUUAUUAUAACCUAAUA